AGUUGAUCAUGGCUCAGGAUGAACGCUAGCGACAGGCCUAACACAUGCAAGUCGAGGGGCAGCAUGGCGUAGCAAUACGUUGAUGGCGACCGGCGCACGGGUGCGUAACAGGUGUGCAAUCUGUCCUAUACCGGGAAUAGCCCAGCGAAAGUUGAAUUAACGCUCCAUGUGUCACGAAGCCGCAUGACUUUGUGAUGAAACGUAAGGGUAUAGGAUGAGCACGCUUCUGAUUAGGUAGUUGGUGAGGUAACGGCCCACCAAGCCGACGAUCAGUAGGGGUUCUGAGAGGAAGGUCCCCCACAUUGGAACUGAGACACGGUCCAAACUCCUACGGGAGGCAGCAGUGAGGAAUAUUGGUCAAUGGACGUAAGUCUGAACCAGCCAAGUCGCGUAGAAGGAAGACGGUUCUAUGGAUUGUAAACUUCUUUUGUCCGAGGGUAAAGUCAAGCACGUGUGCUUGUUGGAAAGUAUCGGACGAAUAAGCAUCGGCUAACUCCGUGCCAGCCGCAGC
rnacentral:rRNA from 1 species